rnacentral:sRNA from 1 species
UCCGGCGGAGGCACGGCCACCCCCACCCUUCUCCCCCACCUCGCCUCGCCUCGCCUCCUCCUCGGGCUCGCCGCCGGCGAGCAGGGCACCGUGGGGGGACACGGCGUCGACGGGCCUCCUCUCCUCCCUGACCCCGCCCUCUAGCCUUCUCCCCCUUGCGUGCGGCCUUCUCGCACGCGCGCGCGGGUACCACGAGCAUCCCGGUGAUCGAAAAAUCGAAAUCGAAGGUAUUGCAAUCCUUCCCCCCCGCAUAGCCCUCUCCCUCCCCCUCGUCCUCCGCGGUCGCUUCAUGUUCCGGCGUGGUCGUAGGUCGCAGAUCCGUUAGGGGGUUGGGGGCUGGUUUCAUCCCCUCCGGUUUAAAAAUCCAUCUAGUUUUUGUCUCGAUUACAUUUGUUUUGACGCAUUUGUGCGUUGUGCGUUGUGCAGUGCUAAAUUACCACUAAUAGUCUAGUGAUUUAGAUUUUUUUUUUCAACAAAAAAAAAGCUGAACCCUAUGCCCCACGUUAGGUUAGCCUCUCUACAUCAGGCGCAUGAACUACUCUAGCACAGUUUCAGCAAGUUCCAUUCUGGCUUUGAAUGGAAUGGUUUGCCUCUGUCUGUCUGUGUCUAUGACAGUAUCAUACUAUCUUGUGAGCACCUUUGGAAUUCAUGAAUUUUACAGAAUUUUCACAUGAUGAAACAGUUCAAGUCACAUGAAAUUCCUCGAAAAAUCAUACGUCCCAAAAGGACGCUUGAACAAAACACAAAAACACACACACCCAAAAAAAACCCGAAGGAACUGCCUCAAUAUCCUUCCAAAUGAUACUGUGUGCUUCUUUCUGUUAUAAAAAAUGAAAGGAAAACGAACUGUUGUUUCACCUAUAACCUAUUGAUGUGCUGUUGCUGAUGAUACAUAAAGAACUAGUCUACCAAAGAGUGGAGAACAGAACCAGAACGCCAUUGGUAAUUUGGUAUAGAAUGAAUCAUGGAUGGAAGACAAGUAUCCUGUUCAUGAGCUUGUCAGUCAACUCCCACGGUCUUGUAGCUCGUUCAUGAGAGGAAUCAACUCCACAGUACCCGUUCCAGCAUCGACCACUUUGAUUCUUUCAUCUUCGACAGCCACAUUCAGAGCAUGACAGCUAGAAUCAUCUGCGACAAGGACGGAAAAUUCAGCAGUGUCUUGACCUCCUUUCCUAGCUUCAGUAGAUUCAUUGUCCUGAAGCAUCUCUGCCGGGAGGAGCAUUGAGUUUUGGUCACUCUGGGGAACAAGAAACAGCAGCAUCAGCGGGAGCAGCCUCGACAAGUUUCUGAUCAGGACGGCAACCCAGAGGUUACUGAACUCUGUUCGAGUCACAUUCAGCAAGUGCAGCAUCAGGCCACCCCACCAGCCAGACAUCAGCAACCCGGCAUUUUGGAUGGACAUGAGCAGCGCAUAGAAAGUUCCUUCGAUGCCUGGAGGACAAAGCUUGGAGCAAAGCACGAGGAGCGGCAACCAUUUGAGCCUCCCAACCAUCUGGGAGACACUGUUGUCGAUCACCGCAAAGACGUAAUCCGGAAUGCCGAUUCUUGUGUUGAGCCGGGUCACCAUUAUCAGAUUGAGCAUUCCUGCCAGGCUUGAAAGAACUUGGCCCCAGAAUAGCACGCCGCGGAAAGGGUAGUCCUUCAGUGAAAUUUGGUAUAGUAAAACUCCGAGCAGCGAACCGAUUGAACCGACCGAAUACACAAGGCCAAUAAAUUCCUGAAAUAAACGAUCGAAUGACGCAAUCGAAGUGUCAUCAGAUGAUUAAAAUUAGAAGAAGGUCAAAUAACUGAAUUUAUCUAAAACCACACCUCAUUAUAUGGAUUUAACAGUGGUAUGCAUUCUCAGUAUUACAGUCCAUGCAAAUGAUGCGAUGAACUGAUGAUAUCUAGCAAAUAUCUAUAUGCAGGAAUGUGCAUACCUCAGAGAAUCCUGGUCCCACUAUUGGAUCAGUGUACCAGUAGAACAUUCCUGCUUGGAUAUCCAGGCUUAGACUGAGAGAAACAUACAUAUACACACACGGCCGCCAAACUUCAGUGUUGCCCCCAUGGACUGAAUUGCUUUGUAGAAUUUCCUAUGAACCUGAAUCCAUCAAAGCACUCAAGUGGCAUCACUGUCCAUGCCUGAAUUCAGCAAUCUCAACACACAAAAGGAAAGGUGUUCAAAUUUUGUCUUGACAUUCUGACCUGCUUGUAAUCGAAAUCUGUAACUCGCCUCUCCUUCAGCAAAACACCAGCCAAGAACACCAGUGCAGAAGGGAUGCUUAGUAAUCCAAGAGCACCCUUAGAAC